GAUGAACGCUGGCGGCGUGCCUAAUACAUGCAAGUCGAGCGAACGGACGAGAAGCUUGCUUCUCUGAUGUUAGCGGCGGACGGGUGAGUAACACGUGGAUAACCUACCUAUAAGACUGGGAUAACUUCGGGAAACCGGAGCUAAUACCGGAUGAUAUUUUGAACCGCAUGGUUCAAAAGUGAAAGACGGUCUUGCUGUCACUUAUAGAUGGAUCCGCGCUGCAUUAGCUAGUUGGUAAGGUAACGGCUUACCAAGGCAACGAUGCAUAGCCGACCUGAGAGGGUGAUCCGCCACCCCGGGACUGAGACACCGUUCCGGCUCCUACCGGGGGCCGCCGUUGGGGAUCCUCCGCCAUGGGCGAAAGCCUGACCGAGCCACGCCGCGUGAGUGAUGAAGGUCUUCGGAUCGUAAAACUCUGUUAUUAGGGAAGAACAUAUGUGUAAGUAACUGUGCACAUCUUGACGGUACCUAAUCAGAAAGCCACGGCUAACUACG
rnacentral:rRNA from 1 species